UACGAAGGGUGCAAACGUUGCUCGGAAUUACUGGGCGUAAAGGGCUCGUAGGCGGCCAACUAAGUCAGACGUGAAAUCCCUCGAGUCUAACUGGGGAACUGCGUCUGAUACUGGAUGGCUUGAGUUGGGAGAGGGAUGCGGAAUUCCUGGUGUAGCGGUGAAAUGCGUAGAUAUCUGGAGGAACACCGGUGGCGAAGGCGGCGUUCUGGACUGCAACUGACACUGAGAGACGAAAGCCAGGGGAGCAAACGGG
rnacentral:rRNA from 1 species